rnacentral:rRNA from 1 species
GUCAGCCGCCGCGGUAAUACGAAGGGGGCUAGCGUUGCUCGGAAUCACUGGGCGUAAAGGGCGCGUAGGCGGCGUUUUAAGUCGGGGGUGAAAGCCUGUGGCUCAACCACAGAAUGGCCUUCGAUACUGGGACGCUUGAGUAUGGUAGAGGUUGGUGGAACUGCGAGUGUAGAGGUGAAAUUCGUAGAUAUUCGCAAGAACACCGGUGGCGAAGGCGGCCAACUGGACCAUUACUGACGCUGAGGCGCGAAAGCGUGGGGAGCAAACUGGAUUAGAUACCCUGGUAGUCCACGCCGUAUAACGAUGAAUGCCAGCUGUUGGGGUGCUUGCACCGCAGUAGCGCAGCUAACGCUUUGAGCAUUCCGCCUGGGGAGUACGGUCGCAAGAUUAAAACUCAAAGGAAUUGACGGGGGCCCGCACAAGCGGUGGAGCAUGUGGUUUAAUUCGAAGCCACCGCGCAAGAACCCUUACCAUCCCUUUGGACAUGGCGGUGUUACCCAGAGAAGAUCUGGGGGUCCCCUUUCGGGGGCGCGCCCACAGGGUGCUGCAUGGCUGUCGUCAGACUCGUGUCGUGAAGAUUUUGGGUUAAGCUCCCGCAACGAGCGCAACCCACGUCCUUAGUUGCCAUCAUUCAGUUGGGCACUCUAGGGAGACUGCCGGUGAUAAGCCGCGAGGAAGGUGUGGAUGACGUCAAGUCCUCAUGGCCCUUACGGGAUGGGCUACACACGUGCUACAAUGGCGGUGACAGUGGGAGGCGAAGGAGCGAUCUGGAGCAAAUCCCCAAAAGCCGUCUCAGUUCGGAUUGCACUCUGCAACUCGAGUGCAUGAAGGCGGAAUCGCUAGUAAUCGUGGAUCAGCAUGCCACGGUGAAUACGUUCCCGGGCCUUGUACACACCGCCCGUCACACCAUGGGAGUUGGUCUUACCCGACGGCGCUGCGCCAACCGCAAGGAGGCAGGCGACCACGGUAGGGUCAGCGACUGGGGUGAAGUCGUCACAAGGUAGCC